rnacentral:rRNA from 1 species
CCUUAGAGUUUGAUCCUGGCUCAGGAUGACCUUUGGCGGCGUGCUUAACACAUGCAAGUCGAACGGGGCACCCCCAAAGGAGUUUUCGGACAACUGCGGGGAAUGCCUAGUGGCGAACGGGUGAGUAACGCGUGAGCAACCUGCCUUGGAGUGGGGAAUAACAGAUGGAAACAUCUGCUAAUACCGCAUGAUGCAGUUGGGCCACAUGGCUCUGACUGCCAAAGAUUUAUCGCUCUGAGAUGGGCUCGCGUCUGAUUAGCUAGUUGGCGGGGCAACGGCCCACCAAGGCGACGAUCAGUAGCCGGACUGAGAGGUUGGCCGGCCACAUUGGGACUGAGACACGGCCCAGACUCCUACGGGAGGCAGCAGUGGGGAAUAUUGGGCAAUGGGCGCAAGCCUGACCCAGCAACGCCGCGUGAAGGAAGAAGGCUUUCGGGUUGUAAACUUCUUUUCUCAGGGACGAACAGAUGACGGUACCUGAGGAAUAAGCCACGGCUAACUACGUGCCAGCAGCCGCGGUAAUACGUAGGUGGCAAGCAUUAUCCGGAUUUACUGGGUGUAAAGGGCGUGUAGGCGGGGACGCAAGUCAGAUGUGAAAACCACGGGCUCAACCUGUGGCCUGCAUUUGAAACUGUGUUUCUUGAGUACUGGAGAGGCAGACGGAAUUCCUAGUGUAGCGGUGAAAUGCGUAGAUAUUAGGAGGAACACCAGUGGCGAAGGCGGUCUGCUGGACAGCAACUGACGCUGAGGCGCGAAAACGUGGGGAGCAAACAGGAUUAGAUACCCUGGUAGUCCACGCUGUAAACGAUGGAUACUAGGUGUGGGGGGACUGACCCCCUCCGUGCCGCAGUUAACACAAUAAGUAUCCCACCUGGGGAGUACGAUCGCAAGGUUGAAACUCAAAGGAAUUGACGGGGGCCCGCACAAGCGGUGGAGUAUGUGGUUUAAUUCGAAGCAACGCGAAGAACCUUACCAGGGCUUGACAUCCCGAGGCCCGGUGUAGAGAUACACCUUUCUCUUCGGAGACCUCGGUGACAGGUGGUGCAUGGUUGUCGUCAGCUCGUGUCGUGAGAUGUUGGGUUAAGUCCCGCAACGAGCGCAACCCUUAUUGUUAGUUGCUACGCAAGAGCACUCUAGCGAGACUGCCGUUGACAAAACGGAGGAAGGUGGGGACGACGUCAAAUCAUCAUGCCCCUUAUGGCCUGGGCUACACACGUGCUACAAUGGCGUAAACAAAGGGAAGCGAGCCUGCGAGGGUAAGCGAAUCCCAAAAAUAACGUCCCAGUUCGGAUUGCAGUCUGCAACUCGAGUGCAUGAAGCUGGAAUCGCUAGUAAUCGCGGAUCAGAAUGCCGCGGUGAAUACGUUCCCGGGUCUUGCACAAAGCGCCCGUCA